rnacentral:tRNA from 1 species
GGCGCUAUAGUAAAAUGGUAAAAGCGUAAGAUGGGUCUGCAAAACCUUGAGUGCGGGUUCGAAUCCCGUUAGCGCCUCCA